rnacentral:lncRNA from 1 species
UAUGCAUGUUUGGUACAAGAUGGUUCAAGUUUGGGGUUAUUAGGAAAUUUGAAAAACUUUGAAAAGAAAGGGAAAAAGAGAAAAAUGAAAAAUAAAAAGAAAAAGAGCAUUGAGGAAAGUAAGUGAAGCAAGAGAAGAAAGAAGAAGAAGAGAAAAUGAGUUCAAUGAUUAAGAGUUGAGAUUAAGUGGAGAAGUGGUUUCUCAAUUGAAAAGUAGAAAGAGAGAUUAAUGUUAAAUUAUGAAGUAAAUUGUUCUUUCUCUUAACUCAAUGAACUUGCUUGUGAAUGUGUUCGUUGUGUGUAAAUGAAAGGCAAAGUUGAUUUUUGUGACAUUGUGAUGGGAGAGUGAAAGAGACUUUGACACCUCACUAUACACCUUGAAGCUUGAGUGAAACACUAUCUUUGGUGAGGAAUGUUCCAUGCACUGUAGGAUAGCAUUUUGCUUGGUUUUUGAUCACUCAUAGUGCCUUUGCAUUUGUUGUGUAUUCUUUGU